rnacentral:rRNA from 1 species
AUUGAACGCUGGCGGCAGGCUUAACACAUGCAAGUCGAGCGGAGAGAGGUAGCUUGCUACUGAUCUUAGCGGCGGACGGGUGAGUAAUGCUUAGGAAUCUGCCUAUUAGUGGGGGACAACAUUUCGAAAGGAAUGCUAAUACCGCAUACGUCCUACGGGAGAAAGCAGGGGAUCUUCGGACCUGGCGCUAAUAGAUGAGCCUAAGUCGGAUUAGCUAGUUGGUGGGGUAAAGGCCUACCAAGGCGACGAUCUGUAGCGGGUCUGAGAGGAUGAUCCGCCACACUGGGAAUGAGACACGGCCCAGACUCCUACGGGAGGCAGCAGUGGGGAAUAUUGGACAAUGGGCGCAAGCCUGAUCCAGCCAUGCCGCGUGUGUGAAGAAGGCCUUAUGGUUGUAAAGCACUUUAAGCGAGGAGGAGGCUACUUUAGUUAAUACCUAGAGAUAGUGGACGUUACUCGCAGAAUAAGCACCGGCUAACUCUGUGCCAGCCGCCGCCGUAA